rnacentral:rRNA from 1 species
AGAGUUUGAUCAUGGCUCAGAUUGAACGCUGGCGGUAUGCUUAACACAUGCAAGUCGAACGGUAGCAGGCCUUCGGGCGCUGACGAGUGGCGGACGGGUGCGUAAUGCAUAGGCAUCUGCCUAUUAGUGGGGGAUAACGUGGGGAAACUCACGCUAAUACCGCAUACGCUCUACGGAGGAAAGAUGGGGAUCUUCGGACCUGGCGCUAAUAGAUGAGCCUAUGUUGGAUUAGCUAGUUGGUAGGGUAAAGGCCUACCAAGGCGACGAUCCAUAGCUGGUCUGAGAGGAUGAUCAGCCACACUGGGACUGAGACACGGACCAGACUCCUACGGGAGGCAGCAGUGGGGAAUAUUGGACAAUGGGCGAAAGCCUGAUCCAGCAAUACCGCGUGUGUGAAGAAGGCCUGAGGGUUGUAAAGCACUUUCAAUAGGAAGGAAUACCUGCCGGCUAAUACCCGGUAGACUGACAUUACCUAUACAAGAAGCACCGGCUAACUCCGUGCCAGCAGCCGCGGUAAUACGGAGGGUGCAAGCGUUAAUCGGAAUUACUGGGCGUAAAGCGUGCGUAGGCGGUUAUUUAAGUCAGAUGUGAAAGCCCCGGGCUUAACCUGGGAACUGCAUUUGAUACUGGAUGACUAGAGUUGAGUAGAGGAGAGUGGAAUUUCAGGUGUAGCGGAGAAAUGCGUAGAGAUCUGAAGGAACACCAGUGGCGAAGGCGGCUCUCUGGACUCAAACUGACGCUGAGGUACGAAAGCGUGGGUAGCAAACAGGAUUAGAUACCCUGGUAGUCCACGCCGUAAACGAUGUCAACUAACCGUUGGGUUCUUAAAGAACUUAGUAGUGGAGC